rnacentral:rRNA from 1 species
GAUGAACGCUAGCGGCAGGCCUAACACAUGCAAGUCGAGGGGUAGAAGGAGCUUGCUCCUUUGAGACCGGCGCACGGGUGCGUAACGCGUAUGCAAUCUACCUUGUACAGGGGAAUAGCCCAGAGAAAUUUGGAUUAAUGCCCCAUAGUAUAUAACCUUCGCAUGUUGGUUAUAUUAAAGUUCCAACGGUACAAGAUGAGCAUGCGUCCCAUUAGUUAGUUGGUAAGGUAACGGCUUACCAAGACGAUGAUGGGUAGGGGUCCUGAGAGGGAGAUCCCCCACACUGGUACUGAGACACGGACCAGACUCCUACGGGAGGCAGCAGUGAGGAAUAUUGGUCAAUGGUCGCAAGACUGAACCAGCCAUGCCGCGUGCAGGAAGACGGUCCUAUGGAUUGUAAACUGCUUUUAUACAGGAAGAAACCCUCCCACGUGUGGGAGCUUAACGGUACUGUAGGAAUAAGGAUCGGCUAACUCCGUG